rnacentral:rRNA from 1 species
AUAAUGGGUCAGCGACUUAUAUUCUGUAGCAAGGUUAACCGAAUAGGGGAGCCGAAGGGAAACCGAGUCUUAACUGGGCGUUAAGUUGCAGGGUAUAGACCCGAAACCCGGUGAUCUAGCCAUGGGCAGGUUGAAGGUUGGGUAACACUAACUGGAGGACCGAACCGACUAAUGUUGAAAAAUUAGCGGAUGACUUGUGGCUGGGGGUGAAAGGCCAAUCAAACCGGGAGAUAGCUGGUUCUCCCCGAAAGCUAUUUAGGUAGCGCCUCGUGAAUUCAUCUCCGGGGGUAGAGCACUGUUUCGGCAAGGGGGUCAUCCCGACUUACCAACCCGAUGCAAACUGCGAAUACCGGAGAAUGUUAUCACGGGAGACACACGGCGGGUGCUAACGUCCGUCGUGAAGAGGGAAACAACCCAGACCGCCAGCUAAGGUCCCAAAGUCAUGGUUAAGUGGGAAACGAUGUGGGAAGGCCCAGACAGCCAGGAUGUUGGCUUAGAAGCAGCCAUCAUUUAAAGAAAGCGUAAUAGCUCACUGGUCGAGUCGGCCUGCGCGGAAGAUGUAACGGGGCUAAACCAUGCACCGAAGCUGCGGCAGCGACGCUUAUGCGUUGUUGGGUAGGGGAGCGUUCUGUAAGCCUGCGAAGGUGUGCUGUGAGGCAUGCUGGAGGUAUCAGAAGUGCGAAUGCUGACAUAAGUAACGAUAAAGCGGGUGAAAAGCCCGCUCGCCGGAAGACCAAGGGUUCCUGUCCAACGUUAAUCGGGGCAGGGUGAGUCGACCCCUAAGGCGAGGCCGAAAGGCGUAGUCGAUGGGAAACAGGUUAAUAUUCCUGUACUUGGUGUUACUGCGAAGGGGGGACGGAGAAGGCUAUGUUGGCCGGGCGACGGUUGUCCCGGUUUAAGCGUGUAGGCUGGUUUUCCAGGCAAAUCCGGAAAAUCAAGGCUGAGGCGUGAUGACGAGGCACUACGGUGCUGAAGCAACAAAUGCCCUGCUUCCAGGAAAAGCCUCUAAGCAUCAGGUAACAUCAAAUCGUACCCCAAACCGACACAGGUGGUCAGGUAGAGAAUACCAAGGCGCUUGAGAGAACUCGGGUGAAGGAACUAGGCAAAAUGGUGCCGUAACUUCGGGAGAAGGCACGCUGAUAUGUAGGUGAAGUCCCUCGCGGAUGGAGCUGAAAUCAGUCGAAGAUACCAGCUGGCUGCAACUGUUUAUUAAAAACACAGCACUGUGCAAACACGAAAGUGGACGUAUACGGUGUGACGCCUGCCCGGUGCCGGAAGGUUAAUUGAUGGGGUUAGCGCAAGCGAAGCUCUUGAUCGAAGCCCCGGUAAACGGCGGCCGUAACUAUAACGGUCCUAAGGUAGCGAAAUUCCUUGUCGGGUAAGUUCCGACCUGCACGAAUGGCGUAAUGAUGGCCAGGCUGUCUCCACCCGAGACUCAGUGAAAUUGAACUCGCUGUGAAGAUGCAGUGUACCCGCGGCAAGACGGAAAGACCCCGUGAACCUUUACUAUAGCUUGACACUGAACAUUGAGCCUUGAUGUGUAGGAUAGGUGGGAGGCUUUGAAGUGUGGACGCCAGUCUGCAUGGAGCCGACCUUGAAAUACCACCCUUUAAUGUUUGAUGUUCUAACGUUGACCCGUAAUCCGGGUUGCGGACAGUGUCUGGUGGGUAGUUUGACUGGGGCGGUCUCCUCCUAAAGAGUAACGGAGGAGCACGAAGGUUGGCUAAUCCUGGUCGGACAUCAGGAGGUUAGUGCAAUGGCAUAAGCCAGCUUGACUGCGAGCGUGACGGCGCGAGCAGGUGCGAAAGCAGGUCAUAGUGAUCCGGUGGUUCUGAAUGGAAGGGCCAUCGCUCAACGGAUAAAAGGUACUCCGGGGAUAACAGGCUGAUACCGCCCAAGAGUUCAUAUCGACGGCGGUGUUUGGCACCUCGAUGUCGGCUCAUCACAU